rnacentral:rRNA from 1 species
GAUAAACGCUGGCGGCGUGCAUGAGACAUGCAAGUCGAACGAAGGAUCGGGCUUGCUCGAUCCUUAGUGGCGGACGGCUGGGUAACGCGUAGGUGACCUACCCCGAAGUGGGGAAUAACUGCCCGAAAGGGUGGCUAAUACCGCAUGUGGUCGCACGUUCAUUCGUGCGAGUAAAGCCGCAAGGCGCUUCGGGAGGGGCCUGCGUCCGAUUAGCUCGUUGGUGGGGUAAUGGCUUACCAAGGCGACGAUCGGUAGGUGGUCUGAGAGGACGAUCACCCAGACUGGGACUGAGACACGGCCCAGACUCCUACGGGAGGCAGCAGCCGGGAAUUUUGCUCAAUGGGGGAAACCCUGAAGCAGCAACGCCGCGUGAGGGAUGAAGGCCUUCGGGUUGUAAACCUCUUUUGUCAGGGACGAUGAUGACGGUACCUGGCGAAUAAGCCACGGCUAACUACGUG